ensembl:misc_RNA Y_RNA Y RNA
AGCUGGUCUGAUGGUAGUGGGUUAUUAGAACUUAUAAAUAUUAGUGUCACUGAAGUUGGUAUACAACCCCCCACUGCUAAAUUUGACUGGCUUAAA